rnacentral:tRNA from 1 species
GGUUCCGUGGUGCAGUUGGUUAGCGCAUCGUACUAAUACUUGGAACACGAGUAAAAAUGCGAAAGUCGAGAGUUCGAGCCUCUCCGGGACCA